GGCCCGUUAGCUCAGUUGGUUAGAGUGUGGUGCUAAUAACACCAAGGUAAGUGGGUUUGAUCCCCAUAUGGGCCA